rnacentral:rRNA from 1 species
UACGUAGGGUGCGAGCGUUGUCCGGAAUUAUUGGGCGUAAAGAGCUCGUAGGCGGCUUGUCACGUCGGUUGUGAAAGCCCGGGCUUAACCCCGGGUCUGCAGUCGAUACGGGCAGGCUAGAGUUCGGUAGGGGAGAUCGGAAUUCCUGGUGUAGCGGUGAAAUGCGCAGAUAUCAGGAGGAACACCGGUGGCGAAGGCGGGUCUCUGGGCCGAUACUGACGCUGAGGAGCGAAAGCGUGGGGAGCGAACAGG